GUCGAAUUUGAGGACGGGGCUGUGCGCCUCCGUGUCCCCCCCCGAGGACGCCGUCUCCAGGUGGCCGCUGCAGAUGAGGUUGAGCUGCGACAUGGACGUGGCCUGGUCCCGCUUCGAGGGGUCCAACGUCCCCGACAGCGGCAGUUUGCGGUGCUGCUGGCGCGGCUUCAGGCAGCGGCGUCUGCAGUAGUAGAUGAGGAGGCAGAGCAGUGUGAGCACGAGCAGAGCCAGCGCG
rnacentral:lncRNA from 1 species